rnacentral:rRNA from 1 species
AGCAGUACCACGGGAACACCGAGGGUGCGAGCGUUAAUCGGAUUUACUGGGCGUAAAGCGUGCGUAGGCGGCUUUUUAAGUCGGAUGUGAAAUCCCUGAGCUUAACUUAGGAAUUGCAUUCGAUACUGGGAAGCUAGAGUAUGGGAGAGGAUGGUAGAAUUCCAGGUGUAGCGGUGAAAUGCGUAGAGAUCUGGAGGAAUACCGAUGGCGAAGGCAGCCAUCUGGCCUAAUACUGACGCUGAGGUACGAAAGCAUGGGGAGCAAACAGGAUUAGAUACCCCGGUAGUCCCUGUCUCUUAUACA